UCCCCAUCUCCCUUUCUCCCUCGAUCCCUUCUGUCCGCACCACCAGGCGCACCCACCCACAACCCACCAUGGAUCCCGCAUCCCUUCGGCGCUCCUCUCGUUGACCACCAUCGUCGCCUCCCCCAAGGCCACCGGCGCUGAUAUUCAAACCAUGGUCCUUUUUAGUGGAGAGGCGUUGAGGAGAUGGCAGUCUCCGUCGCCCUGUCGCGGAUCGUCACGGCCGCCAACGCCCAGCACCGCCUCCCUCGCCGCUGAUCAACGCCGCCACCAUGCCACGCACUGCCGCCACCCCGCCGUCCUCUCCCUGUGUCAACUUCCGCCACCACCGCGCAGAAACCAAUCGCCAUCACGCCCCCUCCCCAUUUACGCCCAGCCUCCCUCGCCACACGCGGCCUCCUGUGUAGCCAGCAUCAUGCCCAGCGUCGCCUCCCUCGCCGGCGCGCCUGCAGCCUCCACCAUAUUAUGGAGUCACCGCCGCUGCCACCGCCUUUCCAGGUCGUGCUUCCUGAUUGCAACAGUAAAGGGGGAUUGAAGCGGUCGUGAGGUCAAGGAGAGGGGAGGUCCAGGCAUUGGAGAGGAGGAAGAAGGUGGUGAAGGUUGUUCUGUUGCUGCUGAUCCUCCCCAGGCCAGACACGGCCAUGUUCUGUUGAUACUGAUCCUGUAUCACAGUGCCCACAAUAUGUUUGAGGUAAUGCCCACCAGGUUGCUUUUUGAUUAAUUAGUUCAAUUAUUACAUGGACAUGUGAAGAUACUUUAGUUUGAUCGAGUCCAGAUAAUUGAGUUCAAUCGAGUCAAAUGUGGAGGAGUAACAUCUACGUAUAGAAAUUGAUAAUAAGUAAUCCAAUGCCCGAUUCAGUUCUUAGUUCUUACGUCUACAUAUGCAUGCAAUGACUGAAUAUUAUGACGACCAGUUCAGGAUUCAGAGGUAGAGGAAUAGCCUGCAAGUGUGCACCGUUUCUGAUGCUUGCACGGCGAGUGCUCUUCCUGGCCACCGCCUCGGGCACCACCAAUGGCAUCGGGAAGUAUUCAUCCGCCAAACCAGCUGUGCAGGCACCCUCCUCCGAAACACUCUCAGCGAGCCCCCUCACCCAAUCCAGCAUUCCCGGCCAUGUACUCCCACUUCCUCUUCAACCCCCUCCCGUUGGGUCAGGCCUUCCUUCAAUUCGGCGGACAUUGAGUCGCCGCCUCGGCUCUAGACUCACUGGCGAGUGGACUGGCGAGGGAAGAUGACGGGAUGGAGAUUGAUCACUAUACGCAAAAGGUGGACCUACUUUGUUUUGUUAUUAGUAUUACCAACACUAAACUGCAUGCAUGGGAACUGGGAGUUUGAGACGGGCUUGCAGUAAGUUGUAAGCCGCGACCAUACAAUUUCAGUAUCUAUUCAUGUGUACGUCGGACCUAGACAAGGUUGGAGGGCAGGUAGAGGACCGGUGGUGCGUUAGGCAUGCAGCGUGUGUAACAACAGUCGACCACAGGUGGGCAGCACACUGUCACUAGGGAAGGAGAUGGUGGCAGUGUGUUUUGAUUAGCAGCAGGUGGCUCCAUGGUGGCCAGUGCAGCAGCGAGCUAGCGUGUUGCUGUGGGAAGAGGCAGAAAAAUUAAUCUGUUUGUGGUUGGACGAUGGAUUCCCGUUCCCUGGUAGGCAGCUAGCUCUUGAAAUAAUUUCAGCAAGAACAACAUCCUCAAUUUGGAGUGGUCUUAUUCGCUACUGCAUAUCUUGGACAUUUUCAAAUGUAGAGCAGAUUAACUAUAUAGUAGACACUGUGCUGUUGGUGUUUAACUGCUCAUGAGAUACGCGUCAAUAUUGCAAUCAACUCUGACUGCAAUUGUAUAGUCUCAAGGGCCUGCAUUCUAUAUUGAAGGUUCAACAUUGAAGCUGCUUGCAUUGAUCCGCAAUAGACCUUGACUUCAGCAAAAAAUGAGGUUUCAUGGUGGCAGUGCCUUCUUCUACAUGAUGGGAAUUUAACGGCAUUUUUUUUUGUUAAAUACUAGCUGGGUGUGUCGUCUAUUCACAGAUCAUGUAAUUUGACCAUCUCUUGCAGACAAAACACUCGGGGAAAGUUCCCAGCCGUGCACCUGUGACCGCUGGAGAGGCAUACUGUUUUAGGAAUGCAUGACAGACUGGUAGUGAGGAUAUUUGUAGAGGCUAUUUGCACCGUAGUUCAAGGCAGAUGAUAGAGUACAGGCGAGGCAACUCACUUAUAUUGGUACUCGUUUAAAUGGUUAUCUAUUCUGCCGGCAUAGUUACAUGCCAUAUUAAUUUCAGAAGAACAAUUUCUAAUUUAGUGUUGUGCUUGCAUGCAUUGUUAUGUCUAAAAAGAAAAUUCCAAACAAAAACAAAUAUAAAGUCACUGUUUGUCUUUACACACUGGAUAAUGAAUGUUUCAAUCACGCUAAAUUGAACCAAGGCUUUUAGAAUAAAUUGUGACCUCUAAGCUUGUGUGUAGUCAAUUACUAAAUGUGUAAUAUUAGCACAUAUUAGCAUGACUAUUUCUUAAAUGUGUAAUAACUUGAAACAUG